rnacentral:rRNA from 1 species
CUACGGGAGGCUGCAGCUAGGAAAACUUUACAAUGCACGAAAGUGUGAUAAGGGGAUUCUGAGUGCUCAAGCAUUGCUUGGGCUUUUGUCAAGAGUAAACAUCUUGGCGAAUAAGCGGUGGGCAAGACUGGUGCCAGCCGCCGCGGUAACACCAGCGCCGCAAGUGGAACCGCUAUUAUUGGGUCUAAAGCAUCCGUAGCCGGUCUAGUAAAUUUCCUGUGAAAUCGGCCAGCCUAACUGGUCGGCGCGCAGGAAAGACUGCCAGACUAGGGACCAGGAGAGGUUAGAGGUAUUCUGUGGGGAGCGGUAAAAUGCUAUAAUCCACAGAGGACCACCGAUGGCGAAGGCAUCUGACCAGAAUGGAUCUGACGGUGAGGGAUGAAAGUCAGGGGAGCGAUCCGGAUUAGAUACCCCUGUAGUC